rnacentral:rRNA from 1 species
AGGUUGCCAUUUCAAUAAGCGGAGGGAAAAGAAACCAACAGGGAUUGCCUCAGUAGCGGCGAGUGAAGCGGCAAGAGCUCAGAUUUGAAAUCGUGCUUUGCGGCACGAGUUGUAGAUUGCAGGUUGGAGUUCUGUGUGGAAGGCGGUGUCCAAGUCCCUUGGAACAGGGCGCCCAGGAGGGUGAGAGCCCCGUGGGAUGCCGGCGGAAGCAGUGAGGCCCUUCUGACGAGUCGAGUUGUUUGGGAAUGCAGCUCCAAGCGGGUGGUAAAUUCCAUCUAAGGCUAAAUACUGGCGAGAGACCGAUAGCGAACAAGUACUGUGAAGGAAAGAUGAAAAGCACUUUGAAAAGAGAGUGAAACAGCACGUGAAAUUGUUGAAAGGGAAGGGUAUUGCGCCCGACAUGGGGAUUGCGCACCGCUGCCUCUCGUGGGCGGCGCUCUGGGCUUUCCCUGGGCCAGCAUCGGUUCUUGCUGCAGGAGAAGGGGUUCUGGAACGUGGCUCUUCGGAGUGUUAUAGCCAGGGCCAGAUGCUGCGUGCGGGGACCGAGGACUGCGGCCGUGUAGGUCACGGAUGCUGGCAGAACGGCGCAGUAGGU